rnacentral:rRNA from 1 species
CCUACGGGUGGCAGCAGUGGGGAAUAUUGCACAAUGGGGGAAACCCUGAUGCAGCGCCGCCGCGUGAGUGAAGAAGUAAUUCGUUAUGUAAAGCUCUAUCAGCAGGGAAGAAAAUGACGGUACCUGAGUAAGAAGCCCCGGCUAACUACGUGCCAGCAGCCGUGGUAAUACGGAGGAUGCGAGCGUUAUCCGGAUUUAUGGGGUUAAAAGGGUGCGCAGGAGGAUUUUUAAGUCAGCGGUCAAAUCGUGGGGCUCAACCCCAUCGAGCCGUUGAAACUGGGGAUCUAGAGUGUGCGAGAGGUAUGCGGAAUGCGUGGUGUAGCGGUGAAAUGCAUAGAUAUCACGCAGAACCCCGAUUGCGAAGGCAGCAUACCGGUGCACAACUGACGCUCAGGCACGAAAGCGUGGGUAUCGAACAGGAUUAGAUACCCUUGUAGUC